CCCUUAGACGUUCUGGGCCGCACGCGCGCUACACUGACCAGUGCAACAAGCAUCCGUCCUUGGCCGACAGGCUCGGGCAAUCUUUGAACGCUGGUCGUGAUGGGGAUAGACUUUUGCAAUUUUUGGUCUUCAACGAGGAAUUCCUAGUAAACGCAAGUCAUCAACUUGCAUUGAUUACGUCCCUGCCCUUUGUACACACCGCCCGUCGCACCUACCGAUUGAAUGGUCCGGUGAAGCCUCCGGAUUGGCGCGCACCUCGGUGCCGCCGAGAAGUUGGCUAAACCUUACCAUUUAGAGGAAGGUGAAGUCGUAACG
rnacentral:rRNA from 1 species